rnacentral:rRNA from 1 species
GACGAACGCUGGCGGCGUGCCUAAUACAUGCAAGUCGAACGCAGUGGGGACGGGUGAGUAACACGUGGGUAACCUCCCAUCAGAGGGGAUAACACUUGGAAACAGGUGCUAAACCGAUACUGAUGGAUGGACCCGCGGGGCAUUAGCUAGUUGGUGAGGUAACGGCUACACAAGGCCACGAUGGUUUGCCGACCUAGGAGUGUGUUCGGCCACACUGUGACUGAGACACGGCCCAGACUCCUACGGGAGGCAGCAGUAGGGAAUCUUCGGCAAGGGACGAAAGUCUGACCGAGCAACGCCUCGGGAGUGAAGAAGGUUUUCGGAUCGUAAAACUCUGUUGUUAGAGAAGCGGUAUAUAACCAGAAAGCCACGGCUAACUACGUGCCAGCAGCCGCGGUAAUUC